GACGAACGCUGGCGGCGUGCUUAACACAUGCAAGUCGAACGGAAAGGCCCUGCUUUUGUGGGGUGCUCGAGUGGCGAACGGGUGAGUAACACGUGAGUAACCUGCCCUGGACUUUGGGAUAACUUCAGGAAACUGGGGCUAAUACCGGAUAGGAGCUCCUGCUGCAUGGUGGGGGUUGGAAAGGUUCGGCGGUUGGGGAUGGACUCGCGGCUUAUCAGCUUGUUGGUGGGGUAGUGGCUUACCAAGGCUUUGACGGGUAGCCGGCCUGAGAGGGUGACCGGCCACAUUGGGACUGAGAUACGGCCCAGACUCCUACGGGAGGCAGCAGUGGGGAAUAUUGCACAAUGGGCGGAAGCCUGAUGCAGCAACGCCGCGUGCGGGAUGACGGCCGUCGGGUUGUAAACCGCUUUCGCCUGUGACGAAGCGUGAGUGACGGUAAUGGGUAAAGAAGCACCGGCUAACUACGUG
rnacentral:rRNA from 1 species